GGAAGACCGGGAGCAGGAGGAGCUUCAAGGAGUGGACGCUGCUGAGCUGGGACCUGCCAGGGAUGCGAUGACAGAGAGUCACCCAGGGGGAAGGACAGAUGUGCAGAAUCCAGCAUGCCCCAUGGCACUCCCAUGCCUGAUCCCAGUGACACUGAACACUCAAGGAGCCUCCAACUGUGCCUGCCACGACUCUGGGGCAGCUCAGGGAGAAACAGCCUGGAAGACACACACACAGGACCCAGGUGUGUGUGGGUGGGGUGUCCUGAAGGCAGGUCCUGGAGGUGUGGUCUGAGAGGGACCCACAGGGGACUGGUUUGCAUCACCCUGGAGUGUGGACUGGGUGUGGGGCAUGAGGCACCUCUCCCCAAGAUGGGGAUGUGAAAGUGCCCAUUCUCCCAGGGAGGGCAGGGCAU